GACGAACGCUGGCGGCGUGCCUAAUACAUGCAAGUAGAACGCUGAAGAGAGGAGCUUGCUCUUCUUGGAUGAGUUGCGAACGGGUGAGUAACGCGUAGGUAACCUGCCUGGUAGCGGGGGAUAACUAUUGGAAACGAUAGCUAAUACCGCAUAAAAUUGAUUAUUGCAUGAUAAUUAAUUGAAAGAUGCAACUGCAUCACUACCAGAUGGACCUGCGUUGUAUUAGCUAGUUGGUGAGGUAACGGCUCACCAAGGCGACGAUACAUAGCCGAACUGAGAGGACGAUCGGCCAGACUGGGACGGAGACACGGCACAGACUCCUUCGGGAAGCAGCCGUAGGGAAUCUUCGGCAAUGGGGGGAAACCUGACCGAGCAACGCCGCGGGAGGGAAGAAGGUUGUCGGAUCGGAAAGCUCGGUUGUCAGGGAAGAACGGGUGUGAGAGUGGAAAGUUCACACUGUGACGGUAUCUGAUCAGAAAGGGACGGCUAACUACGUG
rnacentral:rRNA from 1 species